rnacentral:lncRNA from 1 species
UACUCAAAUUAUCUAAAUUACAUUAAAUAAAGAUAGAAUUAGACUAUAUUGAUAUAGUUUGUUGUGUUUGGAUUGUUAGAAAAGUAUGCAAAGCUGAUCAUAUCAUUGAGAGGAAUGUUGAGAUGGUUAUUUCAAAUCUCUGUUUUGAGAAGAAAAUAGGACGAGCACAUGCAUCUUGUACAUGCCUCUAAGUUUUGCGCCUUCACACUGUAUUGCUUCAACAUUUCUUCAAGUCUUGCAAUUUGGAAGCCUGCUCCUCUUUCAAGAAAAUUAUCACAAUACAGCACAUCAGUAAAAUUGAAUAUUUUGAAGUUUGGUUAUUACUGAAGUUUUGUAAUGUUUUUACCAACAAGACUGGUGUACAAAUCAAGAAGCACCAUAGGAAUCAGCACAUUCAAUCAAUCUUAAAGUUUUAACAAUGUUGUCCAAGCAAAAGCACAACAAAUGAGACCCCUAUGCACGGAAGAAGUUGCUAGAUACUACUAAUGUUGCAUGCCAAUCUCAAGUCUACAAAUUGUAAAAACAGGCUGCACUCAGAGUGCACUUCAAAUGUGCUGUCAUGGUUUAUUAACAAACCAUGUCAUUUGCUGUUCCCCCCACCUUAAAUUAACAUGGCCCAAAGCAAAUUUGGAAUCAUUUGUGGAUGCAUCAACUUACUGCUCAUUGAAAGGUUUUGAGUUGGACUGAAUAGGUGCAUUCAGCACGAGUAAUUUGAGCUCACAAAUUGAAGAUUGCCUUGGCAAGAUCCUGAGCACUCC